rnacentral:rRNA from 1 species
GUGGGGAAUAUUGGACAAUGGGCGAAAGCCUGAUCCAGCCAUGCCGCGUGUGUGAAGAAGGUCUUCGGAUUGUAAAGCACUUUAAGUUGGGAGGAAGGGCAGUAAGUUAAUACCUUGCUGUUUUGACGUUACCGACAGAAUAAGCACCGGCUAACUUCGUGCCAGCAGCCGCGGUAAUACGAAGGGUGCAAGCGUUAAUCGGAAUUACUGGGCGUAAAGCGCGCGUAGGUGGUUUUGUAAGUUGGAGGUGAAAUCCCCGGGCUCAACCUGGGAACUGCCUCCAAAACUGCAUGACUAGAGUACGGUAGAGGGUAGUGGAAUUUCCUGUGUAGCGGUGAAAUGCCUAGAUAUAGGAAGGAACACCAGUGGCGAAGGCGGCUUCCUGGACAGUAACUGACGCUGAGACGCGAAAGCGUGGGGAGCAAACAGGAUUAGAAACCCGGGUAGUCC